rnacentral:rRNA from 1 species
CAUAGUGAUCCGGUGGUUCUGAAUGGAAGGGCCAUCGCUCAACGGAUAAAAGGUACUCCGGGGAUAACAGGCUGAUACCGCCCAAGAGUUCAUAUCGACGGCGGUGUUUGGCACCUCGAUGUCGGCUCAUCACAUCCUGGGGCUGAAGUAGGUCCCAAGGGUAUGGCUGUUCGCCAUUUAAAGUGGUACGCGAGCUGGGUUUAGAACGUCGUGAGACAGUUCGGUCCCUAUCUGCCGUGGGCGCUGGAGAACUGAGGGGGGCUGCUCCUAGUACGAGAGGACCGGAGUGGACGCAUCACUGGUGUUCGGGUUGUCAUGCCAAUGGCACUGCCCGGUAGCUAAAUGCGGAAGAGAUAAGUGCUGAAAGCAUCUAAGCACGAAACUUGCCCCGAG